GACGAACGCUGGCGGCGUGCCUAACACAUGCAAGUCGAACGAGGUCCAAGGGAGCUUGCUCCCUGACGACCUAGUGGCGAACGGGUGAGUAACACGUGAGAAACCUGCCUCGGAGUGGGGAAUAACUCGGGGAAACUCGAGCUAAUACCGCAUACCUUCACAUGAUCGCAUGGUCGAGUGAAGAAAGAAUUUCGCUCUGAGAGGGUCUCGCGGCCUAUCAGCUAGUUGGUGGGGUAACGGCCUACCAAGGCAACGACGGGUAGCUGGUUUGAGAGAACGAUCAGCCACACUGGGACUGAGACACGGCCCAGACUCCUACGGGAGGCAGCAGUGGGGAAUCUUGCGCAAUGGGCGAAAGCCUGACGCAGCAACGCCGCGUGCGGGAUGACGGCCUUCGUGGUUGUAAACCGCUUUCAGCAGGGACGAAAAUGACGGUACCUGCAGAAGAAGCCCCGGCUAACUACGUGCCAGCCGCCGCCGUAAGAC
rnacentral:rRNA from 1 species